CAACUUUCUUCCCUGUUUCCCCUUCUUCUUCAUCCCUUCUCUUCCCCUUUCCCUACCACCAAACUCCCCAUCUUCUUUCCCCUGGUUCUUCUUUCCUCCACUUUGUCGCUGCCUCAUGCCAACUCCACAAUCAGUUCACAUGCCCACCUCAGCAACUUCACACACUAACUCCACCCACCAGCAGCUCUCUCCCUUUUGACAGCUACUCCAUCUCUAUCCACCGUGAACACUACUUCAUCACCUCACCACACAGCAGCCCGGCCAACAGCCCCAUGCCCAGCACCACCCCGUCCCAACCUCACAACCGUGCCUCCAGCGACCUCAACCCGCCUCAGCCCUAAGCAAAACCAAACCAACCUUCAAGUAGGACUGAAUCUCAGCCUUUGGCUGAGACUUGUGGGGUUGUUUUCCUCAGUCGUUGAACCUCCGUUGGAGACACAGUUGUCUCGGGUUCUUGCCACCAUCGUGUUGCCAUUGCCAUGAGCCCGCCGACGUCCUAAUUCGGUGAGUUAACUCCAUAAUUCUUGAUUAGGUUGUUAAUUACGUUUAGAGGGUUAGAUUAGUGCUAAUUAGCUUAGUUAAAUUAGUAUUAAGUUAGAUUAGCCUUAAGAUGUAUUAGUGUUAAUAUAUUUUGGUUAGAUUAGUUUUAAGAUGGAUUAAUAUUGAUCUAGUUGGUUGGAUUAGUACUAAUGGGGGUGAUUUAACUUGGUUUAGUGGAUUUCCCCUCGGAUCUGGUUAUUGGACCCUUGCCGUUUGCUAUUUUUGUGGGAAAAAAUGUCCUAAGAUUUUGAGGUUGAUUCCUUCUUGAGAAGUGUUCUAGACAUCUUUAGCUAUGGCAUAUAUUUUACUCAAAAUUUUAGUGAUUUAAAAAAAUGCGAUUUUAGAUUCGUUAUUUGCAAAAUAGAAUCUCAGAUUAUUCAGGAAACAAUGACCUUUUGGUGUUCAAAGAAUUUUUAUCAACUCAUAGGGUUCGAUUUUUAAAAGAGUUUCUUUAAAAAAGUUGUUCAUCAUGUCUUUUAGUUUAACAUAAUCAAAUCUUAGAUAAAACGGACACAUCUUGUACCUCGAACUAAACUAAUUUUGGAAACAGAAUUUCUGGACACGGACACAGUUUUUGUUAUGGUUUGAGGGAUUUACUGCUCUUAAUCUAGAAAUAUUCGGGUCAAGGUGUCUGGGUGAAAAAUGUUCGUUUAAGUGUCAUUUAGAACAUAUUCAAAUUUGAGAAUUUUCUAAGCUUGUUUGAUUAUGUUUCUAGAAUUAAACUUGAAGGCGUGCGAGUGGCCCAGUUUCUAUCGAUUAAGGCCGGUUGUGGUUUUGUAGUUGUUCUUGAUAUCUGGCUUGCUGAUAAAUGAAUAUUUUGUGAUUUGGUUGAUGUUUGGAAUGCUUAGAACUUAUGCGUGAUAAUAUGUGAAUGGUUGUGCUAUGGUGAGUGUUUAUUGGUAAUGCAAAAUAUGACCUUAUGGGCUUUUAAUUAGAAAAGCAAUUAGGUGUCGAGUUGGAUACCAAAACUUAUUUGCUCAUCAAAAUAAUGAGGUUUUAAACUAGGUGCGUGCAAAUUUUGAUGGGUUAAUUUUGAGUACGUGAGUACCUACGAAUUUAUUUCUAAAAGUUAAAAAAUAAAUAAAUAAAGGGUUACUAAAGACUGUCUUCAAAAAGGGGUGUUUGGAAAGAAAAUAGAAAAUAAAUGAGGUGUCGGGUUUGGACGCCAAAUUUUAUGUGUUCAAUAAAACAAGGAGGUUUUAUACUAGAUGCGUGCAAAGUUUGGCGGGUUAAUAUCAAAUACGUGACCUCGUACGAAUUUAUUUUCGAAAGCUUUAAAGAAAAAAAAAAGAGUUGCCAAGUUGAUUUUAAAAAAGGGAUUUUUUGUGUUCUUGGCUAUAUGAUGGCAUUAUGCGUGAUUUUGAUGGUUUCUAUGUAAUACGAUAUACAAUUGAGUGCUUGGUGGUGAUUAUUGGUUAUUAUUGCAAAACCCAAUUUUAUGGGUAUUUAAAUAGAAAAAUACCGGGUGUCGGUUUUUUACGCCAAAAAUAUUUUAUGUACUAUAUAAAACCGUGGAAUUUUGAAAUGGAAGAGUAUCACGUUUUAUGAUUCGAUUGAAUGUGUGACCACGUACAAUUAUUUUACCGAGAAUUUUUAAUAUGAAGAAAAUUGGUCAAGUCCAUUAUUUGAAAUUGAGGCAUUUAAGUGCAAAGCACGAUGUUCUUGACUGAAUGUGGAUGUGCGUGUAGUCACUAUCAGAACCUGUCCUGAUGCGUAUGAAUACGCGGGGCGAUGCCUGAUUAAGUUUGGAUACCCCAAGUCAACGGAUGCUGGUCGCAGUGGAGGCUGGGCUGAUACUCUUUUAUGGAAUAUCAUCUAGAUAUAGACAUUGCCAUGCUCGACGGAGUGAGACGACGCACAAUUAUGCCGGAUGACCACCGAUUGUUGAGUUGGCCGUGGCCGAUGGGUCAUAAUAACGGGAAUAUGCCUGAGUGGUUGUGAUAGCUACGCCUGAUUAUGAGAAAAAAAUUGUGUGGCACGGUAUGGAACGUGUCAUAACAGUUUUACCUUAUAAUCGAGACCCGUGUGAUUGUUUGAGAUAUGAACAUGAUGUGUUCCGGUUAUUAAUUACACUUGUAAUAUGUAUAUUGGUAUAUGUGAUGCACUAAUGUGCAGGGACGCGCCCAAGCAAGGUAAGUUGUGUAUGGUGCAUGCAUAGGACCGCCUUCAAGGCGAAUUUGCGUCCUAACCGGGGUUUAGGGUUUUGACUUGCCGAGAUUUGAUCUCACCCCAUGGGCUAACCUUUUUUCAGGGCCGUAGCAUAGAGAUCUGCUGAGUGCAGAUGUGGUGGGCGCGGGAUGCGACACCUUUUGGUUGGCCCUGCCGUUAGCGAUGUUUAGGGUGACCCUAAUCCCUAAAGGUUGUUGAGAAGGUCAAUAGGAAGUGGCCGUUGAGAGGCUUGCAAUUAAUAAACUUCCUAGGGUCAAUAGUUGGUAAGGAAAUUGUUCCUUGUUUUUACUAUCCCUGUGUUUGUUUAUUGGCCGGGUGUUUAUUUGUUUCGUUUCCGCAUGUGCUUAAUUGAAAGAAAAAAAAUGGGUCGGCG
rnacentral:lncRNA from 1 species